ACGAACGCUGGCGGCGUGCUUUACACAUGCAAGUCGAGCGGUAAGGCCCCUUCGGGGGUACACGAGCGGCGAACGGGUGAGUAACACGUGGGUAACCUACCCCUGACUCUGGAAUAACCCCGGGAAACCGGGGCUAAUACCGGGUACUCACCACAUCUUGCAUGGGAUGUGGUGGAAAGUGUUUAGCGGUCAGGGAUGGGCCCGCGGCCUAUCAGCUUGUUGGUGGGGUAACGGCCUACCAAGGCAUCGACGGGUAGCCGGCCUGAGAGGGCGACCGGCCACACUGGGACUGAGACACGGCCCAGACUCCUACGGGAGGUAGCAGUGGGGAAUAUUGCCCAAUGGGCGAAAGCCUGAGGCAGCGACGCCGCGUGAGGGAUGAAUGCCUUCGGGUUGUAAACCUCUGUCACCAGGGACGAAGCGAAAGUGACGGUACCUGGCGAGAAAGCUCCGGCUAACUACGUGCCAGCAGCCGCGGUAAUACGUAGGGGGCAAGCGUUGUCCGGAAUUAUUGGGCGUAAAGAGCUCGUAGGCGGUCUGUCGCGUCUGCUGUGAAAACUCGGGGCUCAACUCCGAGCUGGCAGUGGAUACGGGCAGACUAGAGCACGGUAGGGGAGACUGGAAUUCCUGGUGUAGCGGUGGAAUGCGCAGAUAUCAGGAGGAACACCGGUGGCGAAGGCGGGUCUCUGGGCCGUUGCUGACGCUGAGGAGCGAAAGCGUGGGGAGCGAACAGGAUUAGAUACCCUGGUAGUCCACGCUGUAAACGUUGGGCGCUAGGUGUGGGAGUCUUUUGUGACGUCCGUGCCGUAGCUAACGCAUUAAGCGCCCCGCCUGGGGAGUACGGUCGCAAGACUAAAACUCAAAGGAAUUGACGGGGGCCCGCACAAGCGGCGGAGCAUGUUGCUUAAUUCGAGGCAACGCGAAGAACCUUACCUGGGUUUGACAUGUGGGUUAAUCCGGCAGAGAUGUCGGGUCCUUUUGGGAACUCAUGCAGGUGGUGCAUGGCUGUCAUCAGCUCGUGUCGUGAGAUGUUGGGUUAAGUCCCGCAACGAGCGCAACCCUCGUCCUAUGUUGCCAGCACGUUAUGGUGGGGACUCAUAGGAGACUGCCGGGGUCAACUCGGAGGAAGGUGGGGAUGAUGUCAAGUCUUCAUGCCCCUUAUGUCCAGGGCUGCAAACAUGCUACAAUGGUCGGUACAAUGGGCUGCGAGACCGUGAGGUGGAGCGAAUCCCUAAAAGCCGGCCUCAGUUCGGAUCGGGGUCUGCAACUCGACCCCGUGAAGUUGGAGUCGCUAGUAAUCGCGGAUCAGCAACGCCGCGGUGAAUACGUUCCCGGGCCUUGCACACACCGC
rnacentral:rRNA from 1 species